rnacentral:rRNA from 1 species
GCUCGUAGUUGGAUUUUGGGUUAGGGUGUCCGGUCCGCCGUUUCGGUGUGCACUGGGCGCUCUUUCCUUUCUGCCGGGGACCGUUGGGUGUCUUAAUUGCCAUCCCUCGGGAGUCGGCGUUGUUACUUUGAAAAAAUUAGAGUGUUCAAAGCAAGCCAUCGCUCUGAAUACAUUAGCAUGGAAUAACAUGAUAGGACUCCGCUCUUAUUUUGUUGGUUUCCGAGACUGGAGUAAUGAUUAAGAGGGACAGUCGGGGGCAUCCGUAUUUCAUUGUCAGAGGUGAAAUUCUUGGAUUUAUGAAAGACGAACUUCUGCGAAAGCAUUUGCCAAGGAUGUUUUCAUUAAUCAAGAACGAAAGUUGGGGGCUCGAAGAUGAUCAGAUACCAUCCUAGUCUCAACCAUAAACGAUGCCGACUAGGGAUUGGCGGAUGUUCCUUAGAUGACUCCGCCAGCACCUUAUGAGAAAUCAUUAAGUUUUUGGGUUCCGGGGGGAGUAUGGUCGCAAGGCUGAAACUUAAAGGAAUUGACGGAAGGGCACCACCAGGCGUUGUUUGCUACAAGCUCUAAGCGCCAGUCAGCGAUUGAUGGACCGCCACUGCCCUUGGCCCAUCGCAAGAUCCGCUGGCUAGUUUUCUCCUUUGACAAAAGCGAGAAAGCGACACUCUCGAAGUGCUGGGAAGCUUUUCGAGCGCUCGUACCAAGCUGCUUUGCAGAAAGCAGUGGCCGCUCAUUCUUGGCGGGUAUGGUGACAACCGAGCGCUUGGCAGAAAGCCAUCAGCAGCGAAGCCCUUUGCCUCUGACCAGGCGGGGGAACGUUCAACGACUAGGUGGGAGUGGGCACGCCUGGCAGUAGACUGCUUGCGCGUGCUUAAGGUAUAGUC